UUCUGAGCACAACCAACUGACGUCACAAGACCUUGAUGUAGCAGCUGUCAGUGAUGUGUUGAUGAUGUCAAAAGUCAAAACAUUAACCUGUUUGCAGAUUUGCAGAUACGUUUUGUUAUUUUCCACAGAUUUUCUUGAUUUUUCUUUUAUUUUGCCGUUUUAAGUUAGCAUAAAAUGAUCUUUUAUUUAAUUCGCGAAUUCGAAUAAACGUUCUUGUGCGAACUAAACAAUGGUAAACUUCGUCUGCUAACAUAUUUUCUGGUAAGUGACGCUUUAACUGUUGUACUAGAUAUUUAAUUAUAUAUGGUUGCUUGUUGAUUUGAGUUCCAUGGAAGGUCAAGAAUAGUGUUUCCAAUAAUUCCGCCGCAUGCAGAAGGUCACUAGAGGGCUGCAGUAAAUUUCCCCUGGAGAGAAAUUGAAUCCAAUCUGCUUCAAAAGAGUGUGGUACAUUUUCUGCUGGUGUUCCAAGGUGGGGAUAUUUGUGACGAAAACGAUGGGCAACAUACCCCGCCACAUAUCGAAGUCCUUCUGUUGAAAUUUUAUUGUCUUCUACAUCAACUUCGACUUCGACUUGAGAAAAAUGAUGAGUAUCAGUAUCAACAAACUGCAAUUUGGCCAAGUGGCUAUCUUCAUUGCUUGGAAGAACACAUUUGGUGUUGAUUAUUGAUGAGAAAAGAGAUUCCGUUAGACAAAUUUCUUUCUCUUCCAAGGGAGUAAGCAAUGAUUCAUCAUCAUCUUUCUCACAGUUCUUAUUUAUGGAUAUGGCAGCUGAGGAGUGUCUACCCAGUAGGUGUUGAAAAUGUCGAACCAGUCAUUGACAAGUUGAAUGAAUUUCGAUGUUUCUGAGUAGUUCCCAUCAAUUAUUUUGUUAUCGCCACACCACUGUAUGGCUUUUGCAACGGUAUUUGAAAAGAGUUGUGCAGCAGGUUUGACCUUCUGCCUCUGACUGCCUUUAACAUCAAGUGAUGAUUUCUCCAUUAAUUUCAAAACCUUGGUCAAGAAAAUGAUUUCGCAAUAAUUUUAGCAGAUGUGGAAUGUCAGCGAAAACAAAAAUUAACUUUUCUGAAUCAGAUGGAUGUGGAAACCAAACAUUGUCUAUAUUUAUUUGGAGCUGUUUCCACAGUGCCAUAUUUCCUGACCCCAUAUCACUAACAAUUGCUACAACGGUGUGUCGAAGUUAUAAUAAAUUGGCUGCUUCCAUGGCGAAAACAAUCCACGACACAUAAUCACUUGUGCGGCUCUGUGAGGACCCAACGCUUGCUCAAGAGUUUUAUCAAGGCAGAUCUGAUCCCUGAUGUACAUUUCAUCAAAUGAUAGUAUCGUGAUGCGUUCAAGCUCUGACAGUGAGCGAGCCUUGUCGUUCAUUAAAAUCAAAACAUCGUUUAAAACCCCUGGGUUUAUGGUAAACGAGCAGGCCCAUUUGCGUAAUGUACUCAGUGCGGGAAGUGGAUAUUUACAUUGUUGUCUCAAAUAUCUGUACGCUUUGGGGCUAAUACUGCGAAGUGAAAUUGCAGCCGAAAUAUCUUCAGUUGUCCACCUCACUCGUUUUUGGCUAAUUAAAGCUUUUAUUUGAGACUUUGUAAAAAUGUUUGACAAAGCCUGUACUACUUUUGUAUCAGAUGAUGUUUUUUCUAAUUGUUCAUUUAGUUCCAUAUUUUUCAUUUCUGUCAGUUGAGUCUUUGUAAGCAAAUCAUUAUAUUUUUGUUCCAAUUGCUCAUACUUUGCUUGCCAGUCAAACGUUGCUACUUCUUGCAGGGGCUUAACAUCAUCGCCAAAUAAAUUCCUUCCACACCGUUUUGGUGAUAUAAUGUGAGAACUCAUUGUCUGAAUUUUAUAGUUUGUUGGCGAUGCUGUUUCAACUAUGUGUUGUAUCUGCGUGCAGCCUUUCGGGCUUGGCGACAACUUACUUUUGUUAAAUCCAUUUUUUGUCGGGAUGGCAUUAGGCAUUAACCUCCGCCUGCAUUUAGGGCUGUACUCCAAAAGCCUGUGUUGUAGAGACUUAUAAAAGCACUGAGCAGCAAAAUGCAACGAACACAUACGAGCUGAAAGGUAAAAUAUAUUAUGUUGUAACUGUUUUUUGUUGGUAUAGGUUUUGUUUUAAUAAAUUAUAAUACAUGAA